GUCUGAUAGUUUUUUGUUGCUGAUAUAGAAAUUUAUAUUUUAAAGUUCAAUCGAUGAUAGAUGUAAAAGAAACCUUCAUUGCCCGCAUUUUAAUUUUAGAAACAAAUAACGCGUGAAGUUUUGUUAAUUUAUCGCUACAAUAAAGAAACAUUAUCAUAUAUGUGAGAUGAAUUUUAAUAUAGACUUUCAUAAAUAAAAAGCCAGAUUUAACAUAUUCGUAUAUUAGAUUUUGAAAAUCUUAUUGAGUCACACUGAAUAGGUUGGUUGAUUUUUGGUUGCUUGCUUAACGUCCAGUGGCAAAUAUUUCAUGCGAUCAACGCUGAAUAGGAAAUCAUACUGUGACCUACAUGUAUUUAUAUUCGUCUUUGUGUCAGUUUUUAACUUUUUUUAAUUUAUGUAUACCAUUUACUCUAUCAAAUGAUCAACUAAUAAGAUAAUCUUAUAUUCUAUUGAAUAACAUUAACGUAACUCAGAAAAGGGUCGGGUGCGGAGG
rnacentral:lncRNA from 1 species